rnacentral:rRNA from 1 species
UAGCGGAAACGAGUUAUCUGAACCUUCGGGGAACGAUAACGGCGUCGAGCGGCGGACGGGUGAGUAAUGCCUGGGAAAUUGCCCUGAUGUGGGGGAUAACUAUUGGAAACGAUAGCUAAUACCGCAUAAUGUCUACGGACCAAAGAGGGGGACCUUCGGGCCUCUCGCUUCAGGAUAUGCCCAGGUGGGAUUAGCUAGUUGGUGAGGUAAUGGCUCACCAAGGCGACGAUCCCUAGCUGGUCUGAGAGGAUGAUCAGCCACACUGGAACUGAGACACGGUCCAGACUCCUACGGGAGGCAGCAGUGGGGAAUAUUGCACAAUGGGCGCAAGCCUGAUGCAGCCAUGCCGCGUGUAUGAAGAAGGCCUUCGGGUUGUAAAGUACUUUCAGUCGUGAGGAAGGCAA